CAUUGGGUGGUUUGGUGGUAGAGCCUCUGCCUUCAACGUAGGAGAGCUGGGUCCAAUUCCCAGCCAAUGG
rnacentral:tRNA from 1 species